rnacentral:rRNA from 1 species
UACGUAGGAUGCAAGCGUUUGUCCGGAUUUACUGGGCGUAAAGCGCGCGCAGGCGGCACUCUAAGUACGUCGUGAAAUCUCCUUGCUCAACGGGGGAGGGUGCGAAGUAGACUAGGGAGCUAGAGGUCGGUAGAGGGGGGUGGAAUUGCUGGUGUAGCGGUGAAAUGCGUAGAGAUCAGCAGGAACACCCGUGGCGAAGGCGGCCCCCUGGGCCGUACCUGACGCUGAGGCGCGAAGGCUAGGGGAGCGAACGGGG